rnacentral:lncRNA from 1 species
AUGUGUCAUACAGAUGGAGGAGUCUGGUGCACUUUAAGAAGCCCACCACUGCAAGGUGAAGAAAUUGAUACGAGACCAGACAAGGAAUUCACGCAAGACUUUAUAAGGACUACUGCUGCAGCACGAGGGAGUGAAAACAAGCAACAGGUUCACUUGCACAAUCCCUGAGGCGGGGUAAGCUGGUUCCUUAAAUGGGGUGAGGGUAUAGGUUGAUCUGUAGGUGGGGCCUGAGGCGUGGCUUAGGUGGUCUGACCACCCUCUUGGUGGUGCUGUGUGCAGGGAUCACGGCAGUACCCUGCUUUUGCUCCUGGCACCUCAGAAGUAGCAGCUGGGUUUUGGCCUUUUGUAUCCUAUUGUUCAUAACUGUCCCGACUGUGCAUGUGUGUGGAUAUCUUUAGUCCUUUAUAGUUUCUUUGUAUUCUGUUGCUCAAGGAGACAUUUGUCCAGGUGCAAGGACUGAGUAAAGGGUCUCAGGUUCCAGGUCCCAGCCUGUCUCAUUAUUAUCUCACAGCAGUUCUUGUUUUAAAUCCUUACAUUCUUUCUCAAAUUUAUUUUGCUUCACAUGAUUACACAUUUCUUCAAAAAAUGAACAUUAACGCAUCUAGAGCCCAGAAUAACUGCAUUGGUUUAUAACUUUGUGACCAGAAAUCUGCAAUUCUUGGUACUUCUAUUUUCACAGUACAUUAGGUUUGGAUAGGUAGUUUUAUUUUUUUCCUCACUCAAGUUCUUCACGAUUUAAGUGGUAGAGAAGAAGAAAUGUAAUUCUCAAUUCAAUGCAAUCAUUGUUUUUGUUAUACUUGAAAACACUUUUGUUGUUCAGAGUUAAAACAAAACAUGAACCCAAAUUACCUGUAUUCCUAACUUAACUCUCCUUUACUCAAAUACCAGCAGUGUCUGCAGCCAGACAAAAGUAGAGAACACUUGAUGGAGGGAAGCUAGAAUGGAAGGAGACACUGGUUCAUUGUCAUUAAAAUAUUUUAUCUUGGGAAAUUUUACAAAAACAUAUUUUCACAGAAACACACUGUUAGGGCCCUUCCUAGGGCCAUAGAAGAAGCCGGUGCAGAUGAGAAGCCCUGAAAUGUAAGCUUUAUUAGCUUCAUGAUAAAUCCUCCUCUGCUUGAACUUCUAUGUCCUUCUAGCUCCUGUCCCUUUUCUUCUCUUCCCUUUAUAACAAUACUCCUUGAAGUGAACUGGCAAUGCUGCUGUCUCUGCUUUCUCUCUUCUAUUUUGUUCAGGAUCCCAUCAUUCCUCUAAAACUGUUACUGAGCUCACUCUGCUCGCUGCACGACAGACAGGCCAAUAAAUCGGGAGACGAACUGUUGUGGCAAGGAAUAAUGACAUUAAUCAGAAAGCUAGCAGAUCAAGAAGAUGGCAGACUAGAGUCCGCCCCAACAAAAUCUUCCCUCAGUCCCAAUUCGGGCUCCUUUAUACAGAGGAAGGGGAGUGGGAGGGGCCCACUGCGAUGCCAACCAAUGGCUGACUGGGACUGCUAACGGUAGCCUUCUAAGGGUUGCUCCCUAAUGGCUGCUCACCAACGGUGGUCUGCUUCCGGGAGGGGCCCACUGUGACCAAUGGCCGACCAAUGGCUGAGCAGGACGCUACCAGUCACUGCUAACAACCCUGCACCUGCCCCGCCUCUAUUAUACCCCAAUCAUGUAUUAGUCAUUCCUCCCAACAGCCUUAAUAGAUGUCCAUCCCCAUUUUAAAACAGGGUCCAGAGCAUAAGUGCCCUACUAACUUGCCCAAGGUCACAGAAAAAAAAUACAAAAAACCAUAACUAUUGUCAAAACUGUGGUUCCCAGUCCUCAUUGCAUUUGGCCUGUCAGCAGCAUUUGAAACAGUGAACAUCCCUUCUUUAAACAAGACCUUCCCUUGGCUUCUGGAACACAACUCUCUCUUGAUUCUCUGUAACUCACUGGUUGCACCAGGGUCUUGUUUACUGGCUCUUCCUCUUCUUCCUGACAGCUAGACAGAUGUUGGAACGCUUUCAGGCUUACUUCUCUGAACUUUUGUUUCCCUCCUCAUCUACAUCCCCUCCCUGUGUGUCAUGUAUAUCCCUUUCCUAUUCUCUGAAUUCCAGGCUCUAUAUCCAACUGCUCAGUUCCAUCUCUACUUGAUUGCCUAACUAAUCACAACAAAACUGGAGAAACAAACUCUUGAUUUGUACCCUGCUUGUCCUAGAUCUCAGUAAAGUGCCAUUUCAUUCUUUCAUUUGCACAAGCUAAACAAAAGCAUUAAGUCAUUCGUGACUCCUAUUUUUCUCUCACUCUCCCCUCAGUCUAUGGAUAGCAAAUCCUAUUGACAAUAUUUCUCCCCAUCUUUUCAUACCAUCUUUCUCUUAUUGCAUCAACUCAGGUAUUAUGUAAUUCUUUGUGAAGUCAUUCAUUUAUACUUGUUACCUGAGAGUUGGUUAGUCUAGAAUCAGUGAAUGGGCUAGAGCCUGGGACAGAAAUGAUUUGUUUUGCUCUACAUUUUUCUUGCUCCCUUAAAAGGAAGAGAAGAAAAAAAGGAGAGUGGCAACCAUCAAAACACCUUCCUCUCUGCUCAUCAAAAUUAAUUCAGUUCACUGCCAUAUUAGGCCAAAUAAAGAUUGGCAUAAGAGUAGUUACGAAUUUCAAGCACUCAGCCUAUAGGAUUUCUACUUCUAUGCCACCUCUUAUCAAUCUCGUUUAUUAAUAAUGCUACUGUAUUUUAUUUAUCUUUGUGCUUUACAAUUAUUAUAACAGCAAAAUUUAUUAUUAAUUUCUACUCUUAAAAUUAAACUUUUUAUCACAUGAGGUAAUUGAAUCUGGUUAUGGAACAGGUAUAUAGAAAACAACAACUGCUUAUGUUUGAACCCAGGAGUAAUGGAAUUAGAGAUUGGUUAUUUGAAAAUUAGUUGCUUUUUAACAUCUCAAGUAGAUACUUUUUUCUGCCCUUUGGCCUCCUCUCUCCCCCUCUACUAUGCAUUGUGUAUCUGCAUUAGGCAUCAACCAAACCUCCCCCAUGGGUAGAAAUACUUGCUCAACCAUAAAGAGCAACAUUCUCCUAGCAUCAACAAGACAACUCCUUAAAAGAUAACAUUCUUUCUUGAUCUUGUAAGGGGCCACGAUGAUGCUUAGAUCUAGAUUGUGUAAACUGUCAAUAAUACAUUAUUUAAUGUGUAGCCCUCUGUAGCAACAAACUUAUAUAACUGUGCCUUGAUUUCUAACGGGCAGAACAGUUCUCGGAGUUUUCUUUUUUUUUUAAUAGAUUUUUGUUGUUGUUGUUUUAUAAAUUUGUUUUUUUUAAUUUUUGGCUGUGUGGGUCUUCAUUGCUGCAUGCGGGCUUCCUCUAGUUGUGGCAAGUGGGGGCUACUCUUCUUUGAGGUGCGUGGGCUUCUCAUUGUGGUUGCUUCUCUUGUUGCAGAGAAUGGGCUCUAGGCAUGCGGGCUUCAGUAGUUGUGGCACGUGGGCUCAGUAAUUGUGGCUCCCAGGCUCUAGAGCGCAGGCUCAGUAGUGGUGGCUCACGGGCUUAGUUGCUCCGCGGCAUGUGGGAUCUUCCCGGACCAGAGCUCGAACCCACGUCCCCUGCACUGGCAGAUGGAUUCUUAACCACUGUACCACCAGGGAAGUCUUCUCAGAGCUUUAUGAGAUGCUGUUCCUGGGCUAUAAUCAUCAAAUUUGGCUCAAAAUUUUCCAUUUCUUUCCUUUUCUUUUCUUUUUGCUUUGUUUUAUUUUAUUUUUUAAAUUUAUUUUAUUGAAAUAUAGUCAAUUUACAACAUUGUGUUAGUUUCUGCUGUAUAGCAAAGUGAUUCAGUUAUACAUAUGAAUAUAGAUUCUUUUUCAUAUUCUUUUCCAUUAUGGUUUAUUACAAGAUACUGAAUAUAGUUCCCUGUGCUACACAGUAGGAUCUUGGUGUUUAUCCAUCUGUUUCUUGAUCUAUUGAUUAAUUUUUCAUCAACAUUGAGAUGUUCUUGAAUUUCAGGACUUAGAAAUUUUUAUUACUCUUUAUUGUAAAGUACACUGAAUAUUAACCAACCACCUUUACAAUAAACAAAUACAGUAACAGUAACUCAUACUAACACAAAACAUAUUCCUAACAAGCCAUUUUUUUUCUGUCUGGGGCAGUUUUAAAGUCACCUUCUUCCCCCCACAAAAACAGAAAUGUACUUAUACAAAAGCCAUCUUUUUAAACAAAGCUAAUGAUUCACAAAAAACCAUGAUACACCUCUUGAUACACCUCUAAUAGAUUUUGUUAAAAUCAGUCUCAUAGUAACAUGUUUGAAGUGUUCUUUAGCAAAAUAUGUGAAGAGAAGACUUUAUCAAUGUCUAAAAAAGUGGGCCUUCUUUAUAGACAAUCUGGGAAAUUAUCAUAAAAUAUUAAAAUUUUCCUUAUAAUUUUUAAGACUAAUUUUUCAAAAAUACACAGUUACAAAUUUACUAUCAGGUACACUACGUUGCACAUUUAAUGCCUUUUAAACUAAUUAUAAAUGACAAAUAUAGUACCUGUGAAUUCAUUAAUGUCUUCAUAAAAAUUAGAAUUUGAUUACAAUUGAGAGGAAGAUUUGGUUUUUGAUAGAAUAGUAACUGUGGGAUAAUACAAACACAAAAAUUUGUGAACCAUUCCCUCAGAUUACCUAGCAAUGUUGGGAACAGUAGGUGGUCAAUAAACCUCUAAUGGAUUGAAUUUAAGACUCUUCACAGCCUUUCCCUACCUGAUUUUCCAGCUUUGUUUCACAACAGCAUCCUACACUAUUCCAGAAUACUUGCUGUUGUUGACAUUACUCAGGAGCCUCAGAUUCUAUGCUUUUGCACAUAUUAGUCCCUGUGUCUGGGAUGCCCUCAUCCCAAUUUCUGACUUUGAUAUCCAACUCAUUUGUGAAGAUUAGCUCAAAUGCCACUUUUUAUAGGCAGCCUUCUCCAAUAUUUCUAUGCUACCACAUAUACAUACAGCUAUGUAUUACAGUUAUUUGUAUGUAUAUAUAUCCACUUUAAGCUCUUUGAGGGGAGAAACUUGUUUUGUUCAUUGUUUGUCUCUUAGUACCUAGCACAACACCCUAUAAAUGUUCAUUGAAUUGACUGAUUAAAGUGGAGAUUUUUAAGUUUUUCUAAGGUUCAUAUCUUUUGCUAAAGAUGAUAUAAAUUCAUGGAAGAAAUAUCUUUGGGAAAUAUGCUUUAGAUCUUGUGCACUCAAAGCCAGUGACUGAAGAAAAUUCUGGCUUUAUUACUGAUAAAUCUGUGAGCUACUCUCAGGGAGGGAUAGAAUAUAUACUAGUGAAGCUCUUAAUAUAUGCCAAUCCACCACUGAUGGUUUGAUUUCAUACUCUGCUAAAUUGUCUGCUAUGUACAAAUAUCAACAAUUUAGAAAAGAACACUGCCUCAAGUUGUGAUGGGUGCCACUGUGCUGUAAGAAGGGCUAUAACUCAGCUGAGAUUGGCUCCAGAGGUAGUAGUUUCUGGAGUUCAAUUCUCCCUUGAAAAAUUCCCUAUUGGAUCAGAGGUAAUGCUGAUUUAUGAAUCAUCUGAAGAUUGAGCUGGUGGGUGGAUUAACG